UUCAGCUGCCUAGAAUCCACACACAGAGCCUGGAAGCCACACACAGAGGCACACAUGGAAAUAUUUUCCCUUAGGUGGUGCAUCUUAUAAUCUCACCACAUGUAUAAAUGGAUGAUGCCACACUAUCAAUGCAGCUCAUUACACCUAUGACCAGUGGAUCACUGUGAGUGGUAAGCAAACAGCAUCUCCAGCUGGCAGCUCACAUGAACCUGAAUGUGUUCUGCUCCAUGGCCGACCAACAUAUUGACAACAACUCUGCAUUACACUUUUCAUGUUACUGCAGGGCCUCUUUGGGAUCUGAGUAUAGUGACACUUAGUCUACAAUAUAAAGGUCUACUUCAGCAAAAUGUGAUAGCAUUUGAGUAAUUGAUUGAUUUCAGCCUUGCAUAUGAGUGGUUUCUACCAUUGUAAUUCAAGCUGUGUCAGCUCCAAUCAUUUUCAUUUGUAUGCCAGAAAAAUCACAGGAACAGUAACUUAUGAACUAUGCAUCAUUAUUUCUGUGUUGCAGUGUUUUCAGCAAGUGUCCAUAAAUGACAUUUUUGCUCUAAAUUUGGGACUGCCAAACCAUCUGUGAAUAAAGUACCAAAUGAGACAAAUAAAGUCAUUCAUAAUGUAAAAUGCAACUGCUUAUAAGCCUAUAUGAUAGUGAACAUCAUUAUUGAGGCAGUUAUCAAGAAAAGGAUGGACUAAAUCUGACAGGUCGGCUGUGGGUCAGUGUGAAUGUUUGUAGGGGUGGCCAGCUAUCAGACGGACCAUGACUGGCAAGCUGGGUGGAAGUAAAGGUGGCUAGCAAGCCACGAGGCCCAGUGAUCAUUGAGGUUUUUCCAGGCAGAAGAAGGGAUGUGUUCCAGCAAUAUGGUCACCAGAUGAGCUAAUAUGGAGGGCCCUGUCACUUGAAAUGUAUGACCUAUGGAACACACAGUAUUUAUCUACCAACUACUACCUUAAAAUAGUGAUCAGUAAAGUUACAAAAUUAUUGAAUAAGCUGUAACAGUUGAAAAGCAGUUGAGCAGCAUGGUUGAAGAAGCUUUUGCCAGAGUAAGGCUUUUCUCCUAAAUUUAAGGAAAGAUGGAUUGAAGGCAAUAUGGAGUGGAUGGAAGAAGAGUCCAACUGACUGAUGAUUAAGAUGGAUAGAAAAUAUUGACAGCUGGAGGGAGAAGCUGAUGAUAGAGCUGAAUAAAUCAUAACACGAAGAAGAGAUUAAGCCUCCUAACACUGAUGAUAAUGAGAAUUUCAAUUUAAAGAAAUUGAAAAUUUGUCAUUUCACACCUGUUUUUGUCUUCAAAUAAAGUUUAGUUUCUGGUACUGCAAUUUCAAGAGCCAGCAGUACAAUACAUUAAAUUUAUAAAUACAGAC